rnacentral:rRNA from 1 species
UUAAUUCAUACAUCUUAUUUAAUUUCUGUUGUUGAUUUAUUUAUUUUUAUUUGAUGUUAAGAUUGAGGGGGAUUAGCUCCUUGUUUUGCUUUUAUAAUUGGUUGUGAUUUAAUUUAGUUUUGUGGAUUUUAUGGUGAUUUUCUGUUUGAUUAUGUUAAAAUUUUAUUUGUUCUUUUUUUAAUUUUUUUGUUAUUUAAGUUAUUUAUUGAAAUGUUUUCUUUACCUUUGGUUUGUGUAGUAAUUACUGUGCAAUUAGUAAAUUUUGUUGGUUGUUUUGUGAGAUGAUAGGUGUUAAUUGCUUUUGAGGAAUUAGGCAAAAUUUUAUGUCUGCCUGUUUAACAAAAACAUCUUUUGUUGUUAGUUUUUGAAGUAUGGCCUGCCCACUGACUGUUAGUUGAAGGGCCGCGGUAUUUUGACCGUGCAAAGGUAGCAUAAUCAUUAGUUCUUUAAUUGUGAUCUGGUAUGAAUGGCUUGACGAGACACAAGCUGUCUUAGAGGCAUUGAGUUUAUUGAAUUUGGGGUUUGAGUUAAAAUUCUUAAAUGUUUUUAUGGGACGAGAAGACCCUAUAGAGUUUGACAAUUUUCUUAUUUGUUCGUUGUUUGUUGUGUUAUAUUGAGUGGGAAAAUUGUUUUGUUGGGGUGAUGGGAGGAAUAUUAUUUAACUCCUCUUUGUUUUUGUAUAUUUAUUUGUAUUUUUUUGAUCCAUUUAUUUUGAUUAUAAGAUUAAAUUACC